ACUCAAUAGAUACCCGGGUAGUCCAUGCCGUAAACGUUGGGAACUAGGUGUGGGUCUCAUUCCACGAGAUCCGUGCCGCAGCUAACGCAUUAAGUUCCCCGCCUGGGGAGUACGGCCGCAAGGCUAAAACUCAAAGGAAUUGACGGGGGCCCGCACAAGCGGCGGAGCAUGCGGAUUAAUUCGAUGCAACGCGAAGAACCUUACCAAGGCUUGACAUGUACCGGAAACGUGCAGAGAUGUGCGCCCCGCAAGGUCGGUACACAGGUGGUGCAUGGUUGUCGUCAGCUCGUGUCGUGAGAUGUUGGGUUAAGUCCCGCAACGAGCGCAACCCUCGUUCUAUGUUGCCAGCACGUGAUGGUGGGGACUCAUAGGAGACUGCCGGGGUCAACUCGGAGGAAGGUGGGGAUGACGUCAAAUCAUCAUGCCCCUUAUGUCUUGGGCUUCACGCAUGCUACAAUGGCCAGUACAAAGGGCUGCGAUACCGCGAGGUGGAGCGAAUCCCAAAAAACUGGUCUCAGUUCGGAUUGGGGU
rnacentral:rRNA from 1 species